rnacentral:rRNA from 1 species
UGCAGAGGUCCCAAGCGUUGUUCGGAUUUACUGGGCGUAAAGGGUGCGUAGGCGGUCGGGUAAGUCUGAUGUGAAAUCUCUGGGCUCAACCCAGAAAUGGCAUUGGAUACUAUUCGGCUAGAGAGUUGGAGGGGGGACUGGAAUACUUGGUGUAGCAGUGAAAUGCGUAGAUAUCAAGUGGAACACCAGUGGCGAAGGCGAGUCCCUGGACAACUUCUGACGCUGAGGCACGAAAGCUAGGGGAGCAAACAGG